CAGACUUUUCUCUGAGUUAUGCCAUUUGCAGAAGACAGGAUGCAACCCUGCCACCUCUUUCGUUCUUUUGGGCAAAAGGAAUGCUGGCUCUGUUUCCCUUCAUGGAAGUCUAGCUGUCGCAUGGGGCUGGAAUAAAGUCCUGGGGCAACUGACACCAUCUGGCUGAGGGCACUCCUUGGUGUUGCCAGAAGGCCCCUAGACUGGACCCCAUCGCCAACCACCUGGAAGGUGCAGAAACAGGCCCUGGGACCAGAUAGUACUUUGAGAACCUCCUGAAAGUGGCCACCUCAGUCUUUUACAAUACCUCACUGGAAUAGAUUCUUGGAUUUAUUAUACCUGAGUAAAGGCCUGGGAAGCUGAUGGAAUUACCUCCCUCAACCCAGAAGAGCACCCAAAGUACCAACGUGAAGAAACCAGGCUCAAGCUAAAAAUCACAAAAGAGGUCAUCAAACUCCAAAUGGGAAGGCAAUCUGAUCCUUGGACAAUGGCUCCCUCUUCCUGGGAACCCUAAAAUAGAUCUCUGGGAAGAAUCUGACUGUUGUUCACCUCAAAACUACACCCACUGUCGGCAGGAAUUAGCUAAAUCAGUCAUUGUCCAUGUUCUAACAGCAGUUAGAUGUGCCUCUUCAGAGUGGGGAAAUAAUAGGGACAGGAGACAGACAAAUUCUAGACAGAAAAAGGCAGGUCCUUGGCGAAAAACCAACCCUCAAGCAGAAAAGCCUGAAACUGCGGCCCAACGUGACAACUUAUAUCCCUGUUUUCCCACUUGAAUGUUGCCUUUUCCUAAACCACCCAUGGCCGUGGCCCUUCCCAUCCUGUGCCUAUAAAGACCCCAGACUCAGCAGACAGAAAGGAGAAGUAGCUGGACAUCAGAGAGAAGCAGCUUGACUUCAGAGGGACAGCUUGAUGGCAUAAGUUAGGAGAAUAAUCCAGACAGACAUGGCCAGACUUCAAAAAAGAUUAGCUACACAACCCAUCCCCUUUUCAGCUCCCCUUCCCACUGAGUGCCACUUUCAUUGGCAAUAAAAUCUCCUGCAUUUACUAUCCUUUCAUUUGUUCAUGUGAUCUCAUUUCUCCUGGAUGCCAUACCAGAGCUCAGAAGCCAUGAGUCUGGAUACAAAAGGUUGUCAACGUGGCCCUUUGCCCUCACUGGUGGAGGGCAGCUGUAGGCCCACUGAGUUGUUAACACUUAAGGCAUCCAUCAAUGGCAGAGAUAAAGAGCACUGUAAUACACUCUCUGAGGCUCUGUGAGUUCCAGGCACCCUGCCUGCACACUGCCAUGGAAUCUGCAGGGAAUUUACCCCCGCUGGUGCCCAAAAGCACUUGCUCCAGCUCCUGCACCCUCUCAUCUGUGAAUUCCCUCCCAUGAAGGGUGGAACACAGCAGGUCUGAAUUAGUGGAGUUUGCUCCUGCCUGUGUCAAAAUGGCCAGCUGGUUCUAGCACCUGUGCACUCCAGUUCCCACCUUGUUUACUCAUGCACUCCUUCCCAUGAGGAGUUGAGAGGGGCAAGCUAAGUAAAUGAGGCACCCCUGUCGCAAGUCCUGUGAAGGGGUCAUGGAAAUAUCCUGCAUUAAUAGUGUACUAACAGAAAGAAAAGUCAGAAAAACACAUGAGAGAGGUGUCAGGGAAGAUUUAUUUGAGGAUCUGAUUUUAUUUUCCUGAGCUUGGAAUGAUGAGAUGGGAAAGAGGAUUCCUGGCACAGGGCACAGCAGUGGCAUGUGCUAGCAGUUAAAAGGGUUUGGCAUGCUCAUGGACCAUGAAAGUGACCAUACUGAGCAAGGCACAGAGUGAGAUAGCUUAGAUGGGAAUUCUAGGUAAAGGCCAGAUUAGUAAUAUCUCCUUAUACCUCAUAUUACAUGAUUCAGUUUUAUUCUAAGUUAUAGAGAUAUUGCAUGUGUUUGUAUUCUAUACAAACACAUAUAUAAUGUACAUACUAUACACACA
rnacentral:lncRNA from 10 species